rnacentral:tRNA from 1 species
GGAACCUGCGGCUGGAUCACCUCCUUUCUAAGGAUGAUCCUUCAGAUCAGCUCACGCUAUCUAUCGGAUCGUUUUAGAAACAUUCAGGGGCCAACAGUUUCAGGAUUGUUGAGCUCCAUUGGCGGGAUUUCGCCGUCUUCGUUUCUCUUUCUUCGCGGACGAACACGCGCCAGGGGCUGAGCGCUGUGCGAUGCACCGACUUUAGGUCGAGUGCGCGCCGGCAUGUCUCUCGUGUUAGGGGCUUGUAGCUCAGUUGGUUAGAGCGCGCGCUUGAUAAGCGUGAGGUCGGAAGUUCAAGUCUUCCCAGGCCCACCAUUUUGAUCGAGUGCGGAGCAUUCGUCUUCUGGUACGGGGCCAUAGCUCAGCUGGGAGAGCGCGUGCUUUGCAAGCAUGAGGUCGUCGGUUCGAUCCCGUCUGGCUCCACCAGAUGGAAUUGAAGCUCGAUAGCGCCUCGUUCAUUUCGUCCGCGAAACAUCACUUCGCACUCAUUGGUCCGGAUGGACGGUGACGUGCGUGUUUUCUGACAUCGUAAAGAGGAGAUCGAUCCGAGUUUGGAUCAAGCGAAGCAAUUCGCCUGAGCCAUUCAUUAUCUCCGGGAUCAUUUCGGCGCUCGCUUCAAUCGUGAGAUUGGAUGCGGGUUGUAAAUGAUCCCUUUUAGCGAAGCUUGACCGCCUCGCUAUCGGGCCGAUCUUACGAAGCAAGCUGGUCUUUCUAGUCAAUGUCCGGCUGCGCAAUCGCAUUCAUCGAGGAUGCGUGCCUGAGACUUCGGUCUUCGGGCAGUUGUGCAGACAACAUUCUGCCGAGUGUGUGGACAUUGAUAAUGAGAGCAAUCAAGUGCCUUAAGGGUGU